UACAGAGGGGGUAAGCGUUGUUCGGAAUUACUGGGCGUAAAGGGCGCGUAGGCGGCCUUCUAAGUCGAACGUGAAAUCCCCGGGCUCAACCCGGGAACUGCGUCCGAUACUGGAAGGCUUGAAUCCGGGAGAGGGAUGUGGAAUUCCAGGUGUAGCGGUGAAAUGCGUAGAUAUCUGGAGGAACACCGGUGGCGAAGGCGACAUCCUGGACCGGUAUUGACGCUGAGGCGCGAAAGCCAGGGGAGCAAACGGG
rnacentral:rRNA from 1 species